rnacentral:lncRNA from 1 species
GUGUUAGCCCAUCAAAGAGUCUGUGAAAAACCUUUCCUCCCUCCCUUGUGCAGUCAUUUGCAGUGCUGCCCAGCACAGCUCUGUCCUCUCUCGCUCCCCCUCUGCAAAGGUACCAUCAGCGACUGCUGCACUUCCCAUGGAAUAGACUAGUCUAACAGCAAUAAAAGUUAGUUUAUUCAGAGUACCUCCCCCCCAAUAAACCCCCAAACCAAACUCCCUUCUGCAAGCCUGAGGAGACUGUUUGUUUCAUCUAACAAGUGCCAUCUUCUUGCCUGGAGGACAGACUGCCAUCAGCCCUUACACCAGUAUCGGGGGAGCUAUGAAUCUGAUAUCCAGCUGAACAGGAAGCUGGGAGCUGUUGGUCUGUAGAGAAUUGAGGACAGAGUUCAAACUGAGUUGGUGGUAUCUAUGGUUGUGUAGCAGCUAUGGGUCUGAUUCUGAUCCCUCUGAAGAAGGUGUAAUUCAGAAGGAGCUCCAUUGAAGUCACAGAGGUAUGAACCUGGUAAAGGAGAGAAGCAUCAAGUGUGAUGCCAUAAAUCCAUAGCAACUGCAUUGAAGUUAAUCUGCAUUUACACGGGUGUCGUGGAGAGCAGAGUCUGGACCGAACUCAGUG